rnacentral:snRNA from 1 species
GUGCUCACUUCAGCAGCACAUAUACUAAAAUUAUAAUGAGACAGAGAAGAUUAGCAUGGCUCCUGCACAAGGAUGACACAUAAAUUUGUGAAGUGUUCCAUAUUUCA